CAAUUUUCCGCCCCAUGUAUUAAAUGUGUGUGUGCUAUUGACGUUUGUUUGUUGAUUUUGAAAUCAAUCAGAAUUUGCAAGUGAUAUAGAUACCGAAAUUUUUAUUUCGCUUCUUUAUUCAGCUGCUGUGGAACAAGUUCGAUGAUAAAAGUUUCUGCAAAGGCGCACGAGGACAUUAUGAAGCAUAUUGCCGUAGACUGUGUGUGAACGAUAAGUUCCUUUAUUAGAAAUCGCUACUAAAUGAGUUCGAUGAUGACAAACAAAUUUCCAAAUGGUUCACCAAGGGAUAAAUUUUGAGCGACUUUAUUGAGCUGAAUGUGAAGUUCAACCUGACCCGGAACGCGAUCGACGAAGAGGUGUUCGCGACCAAACUGUUCGAUCUGUACUCGGUGGUCAAGAUGUUCCGCUGCCCAACGCCGAAGCUUCGGCACUGUCAGAGCGGAAUCAACCAGCUGUUGGCAUAUCUGAUUCGGUCAUUCUUCACCCAGGAUCAGUGUAUUGACAGAUGUGCCCUAGAGAAGCCGUUUCUGCCCAAGAGGUACGUGCUCGAGGAAUUGCGGCAUAUGCUGAGAGCGUUUCUGGACGAGAAUCUGCGGAAGCAGCAGUGAGAUAGUGUUUGAAAUAAAAUUAUGUUAUUUUGAUUGUGAAGAUUAUUAUUGCAAUGGUGGAAUAAGAAGACUCUAGAAUGGAUAGAUGGGCACACAUUCUCUCGUAGGAAAAUUCUAAGAUAAUCACACACAUAUCACAUAUAAUUAAGUAGUGCACCUAGGUUAUUACGGAAUGUUAUUAUUAUUGGUUCAUCAAAUUCUUUACUUUCAUAUAACCGUGUUAUUGCGACUAUUGAAAAAAUGUGUGGCUACUGAGCAUGUGAAAUGAAUUAAGCUAUUUUUGUAUGUUUGGAAAUAAAACAAUUCAGCGUAUGGAUAAGUACACUGCAACUGGAUUGAAGUUAG